GCGAGCAUAGCCAAGUGGCCAGGCGGCAGCCCUCCAAGCUGACAACACGGGUUCGAUUCCCGUUGCUCGCUCCA
rnacentral:tRNA from 1 species